AACGAACGCUGGCGGCGCGCCUAAUACAUGCAAGUCGAGCGAGAAGACGUAGCAAUACGUUUGUAAAGCGGCGAACGGGUGAGGAGUACAUGGGUAACCUACCCUCGAGUGGGGAAUAACUAGCCGAAAGGUUAGCUAAUACCGCGUACGCUCCUUGGACUUCGGUUCAGGGAGGAAAGCGAUACCGUGGGUAUCGCGCUCUUGGAUGGGCUCAUGUCCUAUCAGCUUGUUGGGAGGUAACGGCUCACCAAGGCUUCGACGGGUAGCUGGUCUGAGAGGACGAUCAGCCACACUGGCACUGCGACACGGGCCAGACUCCUACGGGAGGCAGCAGUAAGGAAUAUUGCGCAAUGGGCGAAAGCCUGACGCAGCGACGCCGC
rnacentral:rRNA from 1 species